GACGAACGCUGGCGGCGUGCCUAAUACAUGCAAGUCGAACGCUGAAGGAGGAGCUUGCUUCUCUGGAUGAGUUGCGAACGGGUGAGUAACGCGUAGGUAACCUGCCUGGUAGCGGGUGAUAACUAUUGGAAACGAUAGCUAAUACCGCAUAAUAGUAGAUGUUGCAUGACAUUUGCUUAAAAGGUGCAAUUGCAUCACUACCAGAUGGACCUGCGUUGUAUUAGCUAGUUGGUGAGGUAACGGCUCACCAAGGCGACGAUACAUAGCCGACCUGAGAGGGGGAUCGGGCAAACUGGGACUGAGACACGGCCCAGACUCCUACGGGAGGCAGCAGUAGGGGAUCUUCGGCAAUGGACGGAAGUCUGAACGAGCAACGCCGCGUGAGUGAAGAAGGUUUUCGGAUCGUAAAGCUCCGUUGUAAGAGAAGAACGAGUGUGAGAGUGGAAAGUGCACACUGUGACGGUAUCUUACCAGAAAGGGACGGCUAACUACGUG
rnacentral:rRNA from 1 species